rnacentral:tRNA from 1 species
CGCCGACGUCGGGCAGGCUGUCGCCGCCGCUCUGAAUGGCGGUGUCGUACUUCGACUGCACGUUGGCGA